UAGUGGCGAACGGGUGAGUAACACGUGGGCAAUCUGCCCUUCACUCUGGGACAAGCCCUGGAAACGGGGUCUAAUACCGGAUAACACCUGCCCGGGCAUCCGGGUGGGUUAAAAGCUCCGGCGGUGAAGGAUGAGCCCGCGGCCUAUCAGCUUGUUGGUGAGGUAGUGGCUCACCAAGGCGACGACGGGUAGCCGGCCUGAGAGGGCGACCGGCCACACUGGGACUGAGACACGGCCCAGACUCCUACGGGAGGCAGCAGUGGGGAAUAUUGCACAAUGGGCGAAAGCCUGAUGCAGCGACGCCGCGUGAGGGAUGACGGCCUUCGGGUUGUAAACCUCUUUCAGCAGGGAAGAAGCGAAAGUGACGGUACCUGCAGAAGAAGCGCCGGCUAACUACGUGCCAGCAGCCGCGGUAAUACGUAGGGCGCAAGCGUUGUCCGGAAUUAUUGGGCGUAAAGAGCUCGUAGGCGGCUUGUCACGUCGGGUGUGAAAGCCCGGGGCUUAACCCCGGGUCUGCAUUCGAUACGGGCUAGCUAGAGUGUGGUAGGGGAGAU
rnacentral:rRNA from 1 species